CCUACGGGGGGCUGCAGUGGGGAAUAUUGGACAAUGGGGGCAACCCUGAUCCAGCCAUGCCGCGUGUGUGAAGAAGGCCCUCGGGUUGUAAAGCACUUUCAGUGAGGAAGAACGCCUGGUGGUUAAUACCCAUCAGGAAAGACAUCACUCACAGAAGAAGCACCGGCUAACUCCGUGCCAGCAGCCGCGGUAAUACGGAGGGUGCGAGCGUUAAUCGGAAUUACUGGGCGUAAAGCGCGCGUAGGUGGUUUGAUAAGCCGGUUGUGAAAGCCCCGGGCUCAACCUGGGAACGGCAUCCGGAACUGUCAAGCUAGAGUGCAGGAGAGGAAGGUAGAAUUCCCGGUGUAGCGGUGAAAUGCGUAGAGAUCGGGAGGAAUACCAGUGGCGAAGGCGGCCUUCUGGACUGACACUGACACUGAGGUGCGAAAGCGUGGGUAGCAAACAGGAUUAGAUACCCGAGUAGUC
rnacentral:rRNA from 1 species